AAAAAAAAAAAAAAAAAAAGGGCCAGGCGCAGUGGCUCGCGCCUGUAAUCCCAGCACUUUGGGAGGCUGAGGUGGGCAGAUCAUGAGGUCAGGAGUUCAAGACCAGCCUGGUCAGCAUGUGAAACCCUGUCUCUACUUAAAAUACAAAAAUUAGACGGGCAUGGUAGUGCGCACCUGUAGUCUCAGGUGCUUGGGAGGCUAAGGCAGGAGAAUUGCUUGAACCUGACAGGCAGAGGUUGCAGUGAGCCGAGAUUGCGCCACUGCACUCCAGCCUGGGCAACAGAGUGAGACUCCGUCUCAAAAAACAAGAACAAAAAAGCCGUAAGUGUGUAGGACUUUUUUUUUAAAGGAUGUAGCCUUGAGCUUGGCUCCUUUCACUCUGUAUAAGGCCUUUAAGGUCCAUCCAUGUUGGUACACUAUCAAUAGUUCACUUUUUCUUGUUGUUGGGCAGUAUUCCAUUCCAUGCAUGUACUAUAGUUUAUACAUUCAUCCACUGAAGGACAUUUGAGAUGUCUGCAAUUUAUGGUUAUUAUAAAUAGAGAUGCUAAAACAGUCUCAUUUACUCUAAGGUAAAACUUCUCAUUUCUCUAAGGUAAAUACCCAAGAAUAGGAUUGCAUGGUCUCAUGGAAAAUGUGUUUAUAAGAAAUGGCCAAACUACUUUCUGGAGUAGCUGUAUCAUCCCGCAUUCCCAUCAGCAAUAUAUGAGAGUUCCAGUUGCUCCACAUCCUCACUAGUGCUUUUUAAAAAAUAGGCUAGGUGUGGUGGCUCACGCCUGUAAUCUCAGCACUUCAGAAGGCCAAGGUAGGAGGAUCACUUGAUCCCAGGAGUUCAAGUCCAGCAUGGGCAACAGUGAGAUCCCAUCUCUAUUUAAAAAACAGAUGAAAAUUGCACAUACUUAUGUACAACAUGAUGUUUUGAAAUAUGUAACUAACACUUUUUAUAGUUAGGGUUUUUUUUUAAUUAAUUUUUCUUGAGAUAGGGUCUAUAUCACCCAGGCUGAACUCAAACUCUUGGCCUCAAGCAAUCCUCCUACUUCAGGUGCCCAAGUAGCAGGAUUAUAGGCAUGUGACACCAUGCCCCACUAUCAGUAUUUUUUAAAGUUUGGUCCAUUCUAAUUGGUAUUUGAAUCUACUGUGGUUUUAAUUUGUAUUUCCUUAAUGAGUAAAUGAUGUUGAACAUCUUUUCAUGUAAUUUUUUUUUACCAUCUACAUUAUUUUGGGUGAGCUUUUUGCCCAUUUAAAACUAGGGUUGUAUAGACUUGUUUCUUUUGAGAGCUCUUCAUAUACUCUAGAUACCAGUUCUUUGUCAGGUGUGAUUUGUAAAUAUUUUCUCCCAACCUGUCGAUUGCUUUUCCAUUCUCUUAACAGUGUUUUUCUCAGAGCAAAAGUUUAAAAUUUUGAUUAAGUCCUAUUCAUCAAUUUUUCUUCUUAUGGAUGUUUUUAAAUUAUUAUCUAAGAUUUUUUUGCCUAACUCCAGGACAUAAAGAUUCCUUCAUGUUUCCUCUAAGUUUUAUGGUUUCACAUUUUACAUUUAGAUUAUAAUUUUGAGUUAAUUUUUGUACAAGAUGUGAGCUUAUGGUCAAAGUUCAUUUCUGCAUAUGGACAUUCA
rnacentral:lncRNA from 10 species